rnacentral:misc_RNA from 1 species
UUUCUGUAGGUGAACCUGCGGAAGGAUCAUUAACGAGUUAGGGUCUUUUAGGCCCGACCUCCCAACCCUAUGUUUAUUGAACCUCUGUUGCUUCGGCGGACCCGUCUCACGGCCGCCGGAGGACCGCUGCGAGGCGUCCUCUGGCCAGCGUCCGCCGAUGGCCAACCCACUAAACUCUGAAUGAAUCGUGUCAUAUGUCUAAGUCUAUGAUUAAAUUAAAGUAAAACUUUCAACAACGGAUCUCUUGGUUCUG